rnacentral:rRNA from 1 species
UAUGUAGGGGGCGAGCGUUGUCCGGAAUUAUUGGGCGUAAAGAGCGUGUAGGCGGUUCGGUAAGUCUGCUGUGAAAUCCUGGGGCUCAACCCCGGGCGUGCAGCGGAUACUGCCGGGCUAGAGGGUGGUAGAGGCGAGUGGAAUUCUCGGUGUAGCGGUGAAAUGCGUAGAUAUCGAGAGGAACACCUGCGGCGAAGGCGGGUUGCUGGGCUGAUACUGACGCUGAGGCGCGAAAGCCAGGGGAGCGAACGGG